AUUGAACGCUGGCGGCAGGCCUAACACAUGCAAGUCGAACGAGUGGCGGACGGGUGAGUAAUGUCUGGGAAACUGCCUGAUGGAGGGGGAUAACUACUGGAAACGGUAGCUAAUACCGCAUACCAUCGGAUGUGCCCAGAUGGGAUUAGCUAGUAGGUGGGGUAACGGCUCACCUAGGCGACGAUCCCUAGCUGGUCUGAGAGGAUGACCGGCCCAACUGGACCUGAGACACGGUCCAGACUCCUACGGGAGGCAGAAGUGGGGAACAUUGCACAAUGGGGGCAAGCCUGAUGCAGCAAUGCCGCGUGUAUGAAGCAGGCCUUCGGGUUGUAAAGUACUUUCAGCGGGGAGGCGUUACCCGAAGAAGAAGCACCGGCUAACUCCGUGCCAGCAGCCGCGGUAAUAC
rnacentral:rRNA from 1 species